rnacentral:rRNA from 1 species
GAUAAACGCUGGCGGCGUGCCUAAUCAAUGCGAGUCGAACGGGGGUCCUUCGGGGCCCGAGUGGCGUCCGGGUGAGUAACGCGUAGCUAACCUACCUGAGAGUGGGGGAGUACCCGUCAGAAAUGGCGGCUAAUACCGCAUAGGGUGACAUCCCGACGGGGAUGACAUGAAGGCCGCAAGGCGCUCACAGAGGGGGCUGCGUCUGAUUAGCUAGUCGGUGGGGUAACGGCCUACCGAGGCAACGAUCAGUAGCUGGUCUGAGAGGAUGGUCAGCCACACUGGGACUGAGACAUGGUCCAGAGCUCUACGGGGUUUAGCAUGAAGGGAUAUUGCGCAAUGGGCGAAAGCCUGACGCAGCAACGCCGCGUGUGGGACGAAGCCUUU